rnacentral:rRNA from 1 species
UCCGGUUGAUCCCGCCGGAGGUGACUGCUAUGGGGGUUCGAUAAAGCCAUGCGAGACGCGAGAUUUCGGAUCUCGGCAGACUGCUCAGUAACACGUGGAGAACCUACCCUAAGGAGGGGCAUAACCUCGGGAAACUGAGGAUAAUACCCCAUAUCUGAUCGAUGCUGGAAUGCGCGGUCGGUGAAAUGCUCCGGCGCCUUAGGAUGGCUCUGCGGCCUAUCAGGUAGUAGUCAGGGUCACGACCUGACUAGCCGACGACGGGUACGGGCGUUGAGAGACGUUGCCCGGAGAUGGAUUCUGAGACACGAAUCCAGGCCCUACGGGGCGCAGCAGGCGCGAAACCUUCGCAAUGCGCGCGAGCGCGACGAGGGAACCCCCAGUGCUGGCACUUAGUGUCAGCUGUUCGGGUGCCUAACCACCAUCCGCAGAAAGGGCUGGGUAAGACGGGUGCCAGCCGCCGCGGUAAUACCCGCAGCCCAAGUGGUCACCGAUUUUACUGGGCCUAAAGUGUCCGUAGCCGGCUUGGCAAGUGCCCGGGUAAAUCGGAUCGCUUAACGAUCCGAAUUUCGGGCGAACUGCCGAGCUUGGGACCGGGAGAGGUCGAGGGUACUCCAGGGGUAGGGGUGAAAUCCUGUAAUCCCUGGGGGACCGCCGGUGGUGAAGACGCUCGACUGGAACGGGUCCGACGGUGAGGGACGAAGCCCUGGGGAGCAAACCGGAUUAGAUACCCGGGUAGUCCAGGGUGUAAACAUUGUGGGUUUGGUGUCGGGGGUCCUGCGAGGGCGCCCGGUGCCGAAGCG